rnacentral:tRNA from 1 species
GGAGAGGUGGCAGAGUGGUUGAAUGCGGCGGUCUCGAAAACCGUUAGUCCGGUUACCCCGGGCUCGAGGGUUCGAAUCCCUCCCUCUCCGCCA